ACGAGAUGUAGGUCCUCGAUGUCUGUUUUAAUGUACAAAACUAGGCCUUUCUAGAAAUCUCCGACUCUCGUGGAGAUACAGGGGAACAGUCAUAUUUAUACAGAAUUUGUUCAGCUGUAUAACUGAGUUUAUAAAGACUUGCUAUGGGGUAGCUGGAAUGCUCCUCAGUUACCAGUUACUUAAGCUUAGGUUUUGUCCUAGCUUUAUGAAAGAAUGGUUCUGUUCACUGUUUUUUGAUCAACAGCAGUUGCCUUGGAGGGAUUCAAGAAUGAUGCAGUGUUACGGUAGAGUGGCCCUGCAGUCCUUGUUCUGCAGUGAAGACUGGAGACUCAUCUUCAGUGCACGUGUGUGGUGUGUGAUACCUGCCGGUAACUUUGUGGCACAUACAGCCUGCUAACUUUUAAAAUUGGUAACGUUCAUCAAGAAAAGGAAGCAUGAGGAAGUGUAAUGUGAUUUUUCCAAAAUACAUUCAGAAGAGUAUGAACCAGUUUAAUACGCAUGAUUUCCCCACCUAGUGGACAGUCAAUAAAACGAACUUAUUUUGAUCUGAUAUAAACCAAUGUAUGUAUCAACACUUGUCCUGUGCUGCCUAUUUUAAGACAGCAUGGUUUGGUUUGUGCCUUAUAAUUA